AACCCACAUGCCUUGGGUUCAAGAAAUUCACCAGGUUCUCAAGUAGCCAGUAAUCCGAGACAAGCAGCCUAUGAAAUGAGGAUGCAGAAUAAUUCUAGUCCUUCAGUAUCUCCUAAUACGAGUUUCACUUCUGAUGGCUCCCCAUCUCCGAUAGGAGGAAUUAAGCGAAAAGCAGAAGACAGUGACAGUGAACCUGAACCAGAGGAUAACGUCAGGCUUUGGGAAGCUGGGUGGAAGCAGCGGUACUACAAGAACAAAUUUGACGUUGAUGCAGCUGAUGACAA